GAUGAACGCUAGCGGCAGGCCUAAUACAUGCAAGUCGAACGGUAGAUCGGGUAGCAAUACUUGAUUGAGAGUGACGUAAGGGUGCGUAACACGUAUGCAAUCUACCCUCAACAGGAGUAUAGCUCGGGGAAACUCGGAUUAACACUCCAUAACAUUACGAUGUGGCAUCACAUUGUGAUUAAAACUCCGGUGGUUGAGGAUGAGCAUGCGUCUGAUUAGUUAGUUGGAGGUGUAACGGACCCCCAAGACGAUGAUCAGUAGGGGAACUGAGAGGUUGAUCCCCCACACUGGCACUGAGAUACGGGCCAGACUCCUACGGGAGGCAGCAGUAGGGAAUAUUGGUCAAUGGGUGAGAGCCUGAACCAGCCAUGCCGCGUGCAGGAAGACGGCCUUCUGGGUUGUAAACUGCUUUUAUCUGGGGAUAAAAAGCCCAUGCGUGGGACAUUGAAGGUACCAGAUGAAUAAGCACCGGCUAACUACGUG
rnacentral:rRNA from 1 species